CUGGCGGCAUGCUUAACACAUGCAAGUCGAACGGAAACGAUGGAAGCUUGCUUCCAGGCGUCGAGUGGCGAACGGGUGAGUAAUGCUUGGGAAUCUGCCUAAUAGUGGGGAACAACUCGGGGAAACUCGGGCUAAUACCGCAUAAUCUCUUCGGAGGAAAGGGGGCCUCUACAUGUAAGCUCUCGCUAAUAGAUGAGCCCAAGUCAGAUUAGCUUGUUGGUAAGGUAACGGCUUACCAAGGCUACGAUCUGUAGCUGGUCUGAGAGGAUGAUCAGCCACACUGGGACUGAGACACGGCCCAGACUCCUACGGGAGGCAGCAGUGGGGAAUAUUGCACAAUGGGCGAAAGCCUGAUGCAGCAAUGCCGCGUGUGUGAAGAAGGCUCUAGGGUUGUAAAGCACUUUCAAUAAGGAAGAAAAGCAUAUGGUUAAUAACCUUAUGCAUUGACGUAACUUAUACAAGAAGCACCGGCUAAUUCCGUGCCAGCAGCCGCGGUAAUACGGAAGGUGCAAGCGUUAAUCGGAAUUACUGGGCGUAAAGCGCGCGUAGGCUGUUAUCUAAGUCGGAUGUGAAAUCCUCGGGCUCAACCCGGGAACUGCAUCCGAAACUAAAUAACUAGAGUAUGGGAGAGGUAAGUAGAAUUUCCGGUGUAGCGGUGAAAUGCGUAGAUAUCGGAAGGAAUACCAGUGGCGAAGGCGGCUUACUGGACCAAUACUGACGCUGAGGUGCGAAAGCGUGGGGAGCGAACAGGAUUAGAUACCCUGGUAGUCCACGCCGUAAACGAUGAGAACUAGAUGUUGGGAGGGUUAGCCUCUCAGUGUCGCAGCUAACGCAUUAAGUUCUCCGCC
rnacentral:rRNA from 1 species